UUGUUUCUAGGUGUUAGCAUUGUUUCCUGGUGUUAGCAUUGUUUCCACAAGUUAAUUUUGUUUCCAGGUGUUAGCAUUGUUUCCACAAGUUAACAUUGUUUCCAGGUGUUAGCAUUGUUUCCAGGUGUUAGCAUUGUUUCCAGGUGUUAGCAUUGUUUCCACAAGUUAACAUUGUUUCCAGGUGUUAGCAUUGUUUCCAGGUGUUAGCAUUGU